CCUACGGGUGGCAGCAGUGGGGAAUAUUGGGCAAUGGGCGCAAGCCUGACCCAGCAACGCCGCGUGAAGGAAGAAGGCUGUCGGGUUGUAAACUUCUUUUCUCAGGGACGAAGCAAGUGACGGUACCUGAGGAAUAAGCCAAGGCUAACUACGUGCCAGCAGCCGCGGUAAUACGUAGGUGGCAAGCGUUAUCCGGAUUUCCUGGGUAUAAAGGGAGUGUAGGCGGGACUGCAAGUCAGAUGUGAAAACCACGGGCUCAACCUGUGGCCUGCAUUUGAAACUGUAGUUCUUGAGUACUGGAGAGGCAGACGGAAUUCCUGGGGUAGCGGUGAAAUGCGUAGAUAUUAGGAGGAACGCCGGUGGCGAAGGCAGUCUGCUGGACAGCAACUGACGCUGAGGCGCGAAAGCGUGGGGAGCGAACAGGAUUAGAUACCCGGGUAGUC
rnacentral:rRNA from 1 species